rnacentral:lncRNA from 7 species
GUCCAGGUAUAAAAGGACAAAGACGUAUCUUCACAACCAAGGUCUAGCAAGACAAGUUGAGCAUUUUAUUUUGCUGCAAGCAAAUCACCUGAAAAAAUUAUCUGCUGAAAUAGAAUUUUUUUUAUUAUGUACAUUCACAAGAGACUAGUUUAAAGCACACUUGACUUGGCAAUCUAAAAAAAAAUUAAAUAAUCAUAAAAGUUAUGUUCCUUAGUGCACCCCUCUUGGUAUUUUUGAAUGCAGGCCAACUAACCAUUUCAAAAAUCUUUAAACUUGUUUAUAAGAAAAAAGAAUCUCUGCAAAUCUCUUCAAACUUCAUUUAAGCAACUUUCUAAUUAUGUAUGCAGAUCUGAACGACUUUCCUUUUUCCUUCAUGACAUUCGCUGAACCUCAGUGAGAAAAGCGUACUUUAUUUAAGUUUGCUCUUAGUUUAGAUCUUAACUACAAUUUUUAUUUACACAAGACUUUCAAAGAGGUCUGAGUAUUUACUUUUCAGGUGUAGGUCAAUUAUGUAUCUAAGAAUGGAAUAAAAGGGAUAAAUACAGAUUUAAGUGGACAAUAACUAUGAAGGAAGGAAUGGAACACCUUGGUACAAGGGAGAAAAAUGAUCUACAAAUAAGAAUGGUGAUCUAAGGUCUACAAAAAAAAAAAAUCUACAAAUAAGAGCUAGAGCAUAUCAAGGAGAUAUAUGUAGAACUAGAAAAACAAAUGUUCCUAGGAGGCUUUAUAACAAUAUUUUGAAUUCUUCUGAUUAACAUUUUGACGUAACUGUUAAACUAUGAGAUAUAAUGGAAAUGGAAUAUUUUAUCUCAUGUCCAUUUAUAUAAGUGGAGGAAAGGUAAGAAAACUAAUGUGAGAAGUCCUUUGGAGUGUAAAAUCUCUACAAUUAUCUGUAAAAAGAUACAGUUCUACUUUUCGGUCUUUUAUAAUAGCAGUAGAAAGUCAGGUAAUAUUUCUUUUUUGAGUAAUUUUAAUUUAUCAUUCCACUUAAGAUGAUUCUCCAAGAUGUUUAACCUAGAAGAACUUUUUUUUGACAAAACAGUUUGAAGUUUGUAGAUUCUGUUGGUUUUUUUUCUCUCUCUAAAGUUCAUUUGAUUUAUGUGAUUUAAGGCUACUGUCAUGGAAUUUGGGGGAAAAAUAAAGCCAAAAAAUGGGAAGCAAGCUGUUGAAUGGUUUAACUCUGAAGUGUUGCUAUUGAUGGUGGAAGACCUGAAUAUUAAAAAGAAAUCAAUUUAAAAACUGGCUAGCCAACACAAGAAACUGAUUUAUAGAUAUAGACGGUAUUGCAAUGUAAAUGCUUUUCUGCAAAGAAGAAUAUAGUACUUUUCAUGUUUGAUUGCAUUUCCUAAGGAAUUUUUUUGGUAAUGUUUGAUCAUUGUUCCUCCUGCUAUUUGAAAAUAAAUUCUCUUAUCAAAGUACUGAAUCAAUAUUUGCAUAAGUUUUACAAUUCCCAUUAUGAAAUAUAUGAAUUUAUUUAUAUUCUGUAAUGGAAGAAAUGCAAAUAUAAAGGUCAAAGAGAUUCU